CGCUGGCGGCGUGCUUAACACAUGCAAGUCGAACGAAGAGCGACGGAAGCUUGCUUCUAUCAAUCUUAGUGGCGAACGGGUGAGUAACGCGUAAUCAACCUGCCCUUCAGAGGGGGACAACAGUUGGAAACGACUGCUAAUACCGCAUACGAUCUAAUCUCGGCAUCGAGGAUGGAUGAAAGGUGGCCUCUACAUGUAAGCUAUCACUGAAGGAGGGGAUUGCGUCUGAUUAGCUAGUUGGAGGGGUAACGGCCCACCAAGGCGAUGAUCAGUAGCCGGUCUGAGAGGAUGAACGGCCACAUUGGGACUGAGACACGGCCCAGACUCCUACGGGAGGCAGCAGUGGGGAAUCUUCCGCAAUGGACGAAAGUCUGACGGAGCAACGCCGCGUGAGUGAUGACGGCCUUCGGGUUGUAAAGCUCUGUUAAUCGGGACGAAAGGCCUUCCUGCGAAUAGUGAGAAGGAUUGACG
rnacentral:rRNA from 1 species